AUUGAACGCUGGCGGCAUGCCUUACACAUGCAAGUCGAGCGGCAGCGCGGGGGCGACCCUGGCGGCGAGCGGCGGACGGGUGAGUAAUACAUCGGAACAUGUCCUUUCGUGGGGGAUAACCAGUCGAAAGACUGGCUAAUACCGCAUGAGAUCUCACGAUGAAAGCGAGGGACCGCAAGGCCUCGCGCGAUUGGAGCGGCCGAUGUCGGAUUAGCAGUUGGCGGGGUAAAAG
rnacentral:rRNA from 1 species